rnacentral:rRNA from 1 species
GAUGAACGCUGGCGGCGUGCCUAAUACAUGCAAGUCGAGCGAACGGACGAGAAGCUUGCUUUUCUGAUGUUAGCGGCGGACGGGUGAGUAACACGUGGAUAACCUACCUAUAAGACUGGGAUAACUUCGGGAAACCGGAGCUAAUACCGGAUAAUAUUUUGAACCGCAUGGUUCAAAAGUGAAAGACGGUCUUGCUGUCACUUAUAGAUGGAUCCGCGCUGCAUUAGCUAGUUGGUAAGGUAACGGCUUACCAAGGCAACGAUGCAUAGCCGACCUGAGAGGGUGAUCGGCCACACUGGAACUGAGACACGGUCCAGACUCCUACGGGAGGCAGCAGUAGGGAAUCUUCCGCAAUGGGCGAAAGCCUGACGGAGCAACGCCGCGUGAGUGAUGAAGGUCUUCGGAUCGUAAAACUCUGUUAUUAGGGAAGAACAUAUGUGUAAGUAACUGUGCACAUCUUGACGGUACCUAAUCAGAAAGCCACGGCUAACUACGUGCCAGCAGCCGCGGUAAUACGUAGGUGGCAAGCGUUAUCCGGAAUUAUUGGGCGUAAAGCGCGCGUAGGCGGUUUUUUAAGUCUGAUGUGAAAGCCCACGGCUCAACCGUGGAGGGUCAUUGGAAACUGGAAAACUUGAGUGCAGAAGAGGAAAGUGGAAUUCCAUGUGUAGCGGUGAAAUGCGCAGAGAUAUGGAGGAACACCAGUGGCGAAGGCGACUUUCUGGUCUGUAACUGACGCUGAUGUGCGAAAGCGUGGGGAUCAAACAGGAUUAGAUACCCUGGUAGUCCACGCCGUAAACGAUGAGUGCUAAGUGUUAGGGGGUUUCCGCCCCUUAGUGCUGCAGCUAACGCAUUAAGCACUCCGCCUGGGGAGUACGACCGCAUGGUUGAAACUCAAAGGAAUUGACGGGGACCCGCACAAGCGGUGGAGCAUGUGGUUUAAUUCGAAGCAACGCGAAGAACCUUACCAAAUCUUGACAUCCUUUGACAACUCUAGAGAUAGAGCCUUCCCCUUCGGGGGACAAAGUGACAGGUGGUGCAUGGUUGUCGUCAGCUCGUGUCGUGAGAUGUUGGGUUAAGUCCCGCAACGAGCGCAACCCUUAAGCUUAGUUGCCAUCAUUAAGUUGGGCACUCUAAGUUGACUGCCGGUGACAAACCGGAGGAAGGUGGGGAUGACGUCAAAUCAUCAUGCCCCUUAUGAUUUGGGCUACACACGUGCUACAAUGGACAAUACAAAGGGCAGCGAAACCGCGAGGUCAAGCAAAUCCCAUAAAGUUGUUCUCAGUUCGGAUUGUAGUCUGCAACUCGACUACAUGAAGCUGGAAUCGCUAGUAAUCGUAGAUCAGCAUGCUACGGUGAAUACGUUCCCGGGUCU